rnacentral:lncRNA from 1 species
UAAGCACGACUAUCAAUUGUGGUUAUCAUGGAGAUGAUGGUGAGUAUUGUACCGUAAGGGAGAUAAAGAGGAAAUUGUGUGUUUUUUUCUUUGAUAGUGAAGUUGAAAGGUAGAUGAAGAGUUGUUGGUUGGUGUUGAAAAACAUAAAAAUAGGGAGGAGCUAGCUAAGAGAGGCAAGGUCACGGUUUUGUGACUUUUUGUUUGUUUUUGGUAAUUUUUUUUGCGUAAUACUCAUU